AAAAAAAAAAAAUAAAUCUGUGAUUAAUAUUAAUUCUUUACCUACUCAUUCAGUUUUUCUGCUUUUGACUCUGAAAGGGAGAAAGGUAAUUAUGUGAGGAUAUGUGGUUUCUAGCCUGUUUCCAUUCUUAGCAGCCUUUAUUAAUUCUUGAAGUUUUCAUCUCCAUUUACUAAGAAACAGUAACGCACAACUACCAGGCCUUUAAGCCAGUUAAUUGGAAUCUAAACUUAUUUAAAUGUAUUGUGCUACUAUCUCAUACGUCCAGCAGAAAACUGACGGCCUGAGUUUUGUUGAGAGAAAAAGAGGAAAAGAAAUGAUUGAAAUUCCACUUAGGCCUUCAUGCCUUCCAUGAGACAGGGAAGGCAAAGUCCAGCAACUUCAGUGGCUUUGGCUGCCUCGCCUUCUCUUUAUUGGGCUGGGGAACCACUGGGGACCCUCAGCUCAGUGGCAGGAGGCAGAAGUCAGAGCAUAGGCAACUCAGCAGAAUUCUGGGUGGGAGUGGAGAAACAAUUGAGGGAGAGCAUUUCUUUUCUACCGAUCAUUACUGCGGGCAUCCAGCUGUCCCUUUGUGGAACUGCAUUUCUCCUGGGGAGGAAGAAGUGUAUUCCCCUGACUGCUGUUUUUCUUGACUCUAAUGGAUAUUUUUAAGAGAACAGAAUUGAGGGAAAAUAGUAGAAUAAAUACUACUGAGAAAAUUUUAAAAAUCAUUUCUCUAAAUGGAAUCUUGGUGGGGCUGGAGAGUUGUGAGUAAAUGGGGAUUUUAAAAACGAUUCAGCCAUUUUUAGGAAAUUGAUAGGUGACUUAAUCUCAGAGGACAGUUUUUGUUACAAUAAGAGAACUUCAGGAAAGUUAGUUCAUAUCUUUUACAAGAAAAAUCACUUCUAUUUUUGUGCCUUUAGUCUUAUAGAUUUAUUUCUGUUUUUAGUUUUUCUUCCCCUUAAUGAGCGUUUUUGAAAUGGAUUAGAAUAGUCAUUUUGCAUUGUAUAAUAGUGUUUUCCUUCUCCAUGUAGCUAGAUUAAUGAUUUUUUAAAAUACAUUAUUACUUUUGCUUCUAAAGUCAAGCAAUGCUUACAUAUAGUAAAAUGAACUUAUAAGAUUCCAUCCCAUGUAUUCAUAUAACUUUUUUUGAACCUGUAUGGUAGCAGUCAUGGCUGUUGGCUAAAGUAAAUUUAAUUAGUUUCUUAAUGACAAAGAUAUUACAUUUGGAUAUAUGUACAGAAAUGCAUAUAUGUGGAUUUCCAUAUAAAUGUAUCAUCAACCACAGCAGUAGCAUGCAUUUUGAGUAAUUUUGAUGGGCAUGAUUUAAUAUUUUACACAUCUCUUAAUUUGCUCAUACUUUUAUAUAAACUACUUUUUUUCUUAAAGAGCUAUUGCUCUGCCAGAAAUAACCCUAACUUUGAAGGUCAUGAUAAAUUUAAAGGAAGCCAGACGUCCCAAAACCUAAGGCUGUUUGCUACUGGUCCUUGAUAAGUACAUAAAUUGAGGGUAAAAUUUUUUUUUUUUUUUUGAGAUGGAGUCUCAGCUCUGUCACCCAGGCUGGAGUGCAGUGGCGCAAUCUCGACUUACUACAACCUCCGCCUCCCGGGUUCAAGCUAUCCUCUUGCCUCAGCCUCCCAAGUAGCUGGGAUUACAGGCGUGCAUCACCAUGCCUAGCUAAUUUUUGUGUUUUCAGUAGAGAUGGGGUUUUGCCAUGCUGGCCAGGCUGGUCUGCAACUCCUGACCUCAAGUGAUCCUCCUGCCUCAGCCUCCCAAAGUGCUGGGAUUACGGGCAUGAGCCACCGCACCCGGCCUGAGGAUAAACUUUUAUAAACAUUUAUAGUAACGACAUUGCCGCAUUUAAGAGUCUUUUUAGGCUGGGCGUGGUAGCUCACACCUGUAAUCCCAGCACUUUGGGAGGCUGAGGCGGGCGGAUCACAAGGUCAGGAGAUCGAGACCAUCCUGGCUGACAAGGUGAAGCCCCAUCUCUACUAAAAAUACAACAAAUUAGCCAAGCAUGGUGGCGGGUGCCUGUAGUCCCAGCUACUCGGGAGCCUGAGGCAGGAGAAUGGUGUGAACCCAGGAGGCGGAGCUUGCAGUGAGCCAAGAUUGUGCCACUGCACUCUAGCCUGGGCGACAGAGCGAGACUCCAUCUC
rnacentral:lncRNA from 10 species